rnacentral:rRNA from 1 species
CCUACGGGAGGCAGCAGUGAGGAAUAUUGGUCAAUGGACGAGAGUCUGAACCAGCCAAGUAGCGUGAAGGAUGACUGCCCUAUGGGUUGUAAACUUCUUUUAUAUGGGAAUAAAAUGUUCCACGUGUGGGAUUUUGUAUGUACCAUAUGAACAAGGAUCGGCUAACUCCGUGCCAGCAGCCGCGGUAAUACGGAGGAUCCGAGCGUUAUCCGGAUUUAUUGGGUUUAAAGGGAGCGUAGGUGGAUUGUUAAGUCAGUUGUGAAAGUUUGCGGCGCAACCGUAAAAUUGCAGUUGAAACUGGCAGUCUUGAGUACAGUAGAGGUGUGCGGAAUUCGUGGUGUAGCGGUGAAAUGCUUAGAUAUCACGAAGAACUCCGAUGGCGAAGGCAGUUCACUGGACUGCAACUGACACUGAGGCUCGAAAGUGUGGGUAUCAAACAGGAUUAGAUACCCCAGUAGUC